CGACCAGGGCUACACACGUGCUACAAUGGCGCAUACAAAGAGAAGCGACCUCGCGAGAGCAAGCGGACCUCAUAAAGUGCGUCGUAGUCCGGAUUGGAGUCUGCAACUCGACUCCAUGAAGUCGGAAUCGCUAGUAAUCGUGGAUCAGAAUGCCACGGUGAAUACGUUCCCGGGCCUUGUACACACCGCCCGUCACACCAUGGGAGUGGGUUGCAAAAGAAGUAGGUAGCUUAACCUUCGGGAGGGCGCUUACCACUUUGUGAUUCAUGACUGGGGUGAAGUCGUAACAAGGUAACCGUAGGGGAACCUGCGGUUGGA
rnacentral:rRNA from 4 species